GUGCCAGCCGCCGCGGUAAUACGUAGGUGGCAAGCGUUGUCCGGAAUUAUUGGGCGUAAAGCGCGCGCAGGUGGUUUCUUAAGUCUGAUGUGAAAGCCCACGGCUUAACCGUGGAGGGUCAUUGGAAACUGGGAGACUUGAGUGCAGAAGAGGAAAGUGGAAUUCCAAGUGUGGCGGUGAAAUGCGUAGAGAUUUGGAGGAACACCAGUGGCGAAUGCGACUUUCUGGUCUGCAACUGACGCUGAGGCGCGAAAGCAUGGGGAGCAAACAGGAUUAGAUACCCUGGUAGUCCAUGCCGUAAACGAUGAGUGCUAAGUGUUAGGGGGUUUCCGCCCCUUAGUGCCGGAGUUAACACAAUAAGUAAUCCACCUGGGGAGUACGACCGCAAGGUUGAAACUUAAAUGAAUUGGCGG
rnacentral:rRNA from 1 species